rnacentral:rRNA from 1 species
AUAACGGUCCUAAGGUAGCGAAAUUCCUUGUCGGGUAAGUUCCGACCCGCACGAAUGGCGUAACGAUGGCCACACUGUCUCCUCCUGAGACUCAGCGAAGUUGAAGUGGUUGUGAAGAUGCAAUCUACCCGCUGCUAGACGGAAAGACCCCGUGAACCUUUACUGUAGCUUUGCAUUGGACUUUGAAGUCACUUGUGUAGGAUAGGUGGGAGGCUUUGAAGCAGAGACGCCAGUCUCUGUGGAGCCGUCCUUGAAAUACCACCCUGGUGUCUUUGAGGUUCUAACCCAGACCCGUAAUCCGGGUCGGGGACCGUGCAUGGUAGGCAGUUUGACUGGGGCGGUCUCCUCCCAAAGAGUAACGGAGGAGUUCGAAGGUUACCUAGGUCCGGUCGGAAAUCGGACUGAUAGUGCAAUGGCAAAAGGUAGCUUAACUGCGAGACCGACAAGUCGAGCAGGUGCGAAAGCAGGACAUAGUGAUCCGGUGGUUCUGUAUGGAAGGGCCAUCGCUCAACGGAUAAAAGGUACUCCGGGGAUAACAGGCUGAUUCCGCCCAAGAGUUCAUAUCGACGGCGGAGUUUGGCACCUCGAUGUCGGCUCAUCACAUCCUGGGGCUGUAGUCGGUCCCAAGGGUAUGGCUGUUCGCCAUUUAAAGUGGUACGUGAGCUGGGUUUAAAACGUCGUGAGACAGUUUGGUCCCUAUCUGCAGUGGGCGUUGGAAGUUUGACGGGAGCUGCUCCUAGUACGAGAGGACCGGAGUGGACGAACCUCUGGUGUACCGGUUGUAACGCCAGUUGCAUAGCCGGGUAGCUAAGUUCGGAAGAGAUAAGCGCUGAAAGCAUCUAAGCGCGAAACUCGCCUGAAGAUGAGACUUCCCUUGUGGUUUAACCACACUAAAGAGUCGUUCGAGACCAGGACGUUGAUAGGUGGGGUGUGGAAGCGCGGUAACGCGUGAAGCUAACCCAUACUAAUUGCUCGUGAGGCUUGACUCU